GCUGGGCACAGGAGCUGAAAGAGAAGUUCUGCAGAGCAUUGCAGGUCGUUCUCCAUUGUGUAUUGAUAUUAUUGUUAUGUACAUGCAAUAUGCCUGGUUCACAAGCAGUUCUAGAUUAUUCCAGUUUAGACUCCAUAUUGGAGCUGAGAAGACCUGAAAGAAAUAGCAGCCAGAGGAAAUUGUUCUUCGGCUGGAGCAGGAGCCGUAAAAGGGAAGUAGCUUUUAGAGCACCAGGACUCCAUGCUUAUUUACUUUACUGAUUAUCAGGAGGGGGACAACAGCCUAUGGCACCCUGAUCCAAGGAUACCAGAAUCGACCAAAAGUUUAGUAACCAGACCCAAGAGUUAUUAAGCAAGCCUGUCAGCCCAGCAGAAAAAGAGAGAAAGCACAGUUACCAAGUUUGCCUGCCAGUCUAUGCCAAAGCCUGUUGAGAGAGCCUGAAUAUUGUCUGGAAUCCGGUUUACCCAAGUAAAGCUGCUGUUGAAGUU